rnacentral:rRNA from 1 species
UAGGGAAUCUUCGGCAAUGGACGAAAGUCUGACCGAGCAACGCCGCGUGAGUGAAGAAGGUUUUCGGAUCGUAAAACUCUGUUGUUAGAGAAGAACAAGGACGUUAGUAACUGAACGUCCCCUGACGGUAUCUAACCAGAAAGCCACGGCUAACUACGUGCCAGCAGCCGCGGUAAUACGUAGGUGGCAAGCGUUGUCCGGAUUUAUUGGGCGUAAAGCGAGCGCAGGCGGUUUCUUAAGUCUGAUGUGAAAGCCCCCGGCUCAACCGGGGAGGGUCAUUGGAAACUGGGAGACUUGAGUGGAGAAGAGGAGAGUGGAAUUCCAUGUGUAGCGGUGAAAUGCGUAGAUAUAUGGAGGAACACCAGUGGCGAAGGCGGCUCUCUGGUCUGUAACUGACGCUGAGGCUCGAAAGCGUGGGGAGCAAACAGG